UCCCUAGUAGCUUGGAUGGUAAAGCGUCUGCCUACAAUGUAGGAGACCUGGGUUCGAUCCCUGGGUCGGGAA
rnacentral:tRNA from 1 species